GACGAACGCUGGCGGCGCGCUUAACACAUGCAAGUCGAACGGAAAGGCCUGCUUUCCCUUGUGGAUUGCGGGUACUCGAGUGGCGAACGGGUGAGUAACACGUGAGUUAUCUGCCCCCAACUUGGGUAUAAGCCUAGGAAACUGGGUCUAAUUCCCGAUAGGACUGCAGGGUGGUGCCUGUGGUGGAAAACGAUUUUCUAGUGGUUGGGGAUGAGCUCGCGGCCUAUCAGCUUGUUGGUGGGGUAAUGGCCUACCAAGGCGGCGACGGGUAGCCGGCCUGGGAGGGUGGACGGCCACAUUGGGACUGCGAUACGGCCCAGACUCCUACGGGAGGCAGCAGUGGGGAAUAUUACACAAUGGGCGGAAGCCUGAUGCAGCGACGCCGCGUGGGGGAUGCCGGCCUUCGGGUUGUAAACUCCUUUCGACCGCGAGGAAGCCACCUGGUUGGAAGGGUGGUGACGGUAGUGGUAGAAGAAGCACCGGCUAACUACGUG
rnacentral:rRNA from 1 species